UGAUGUUUAGCCGGGUCGAGAGACUGAACGGCCACAUUGGGACUGAGAUACGGCCCAAACUCCUACGGGAGGCAGCAGUAGGGAAUAUUCCACAAUGAGCGAAAGCUUGAUGGAGCGACACAGCGUGCACGAUGAAGGUCUUCGGAUUGUAAAGUGCUGUUAUAAGGGAAGAACAUUUGCAAUAGGAAAUGAUUGCAGACUGACGGUACCUUGUCAGAAAGCGAUGGCUAACUAUGUGCCAGCAGCCGCGGUAAUACAUAGGUCGCAAGCGUUAUCCGGAAUUAUUGGGCGUAAAGCGUUCGUAGGCUGUUUGUUAAGUCUGGAGU
rnacentral:rRNA from 1 species